GACGAACGCUGGCGGCGUGCUUAACACAUGCAAGUCGAACGCUGAAGCUCAGCUUUUGUUGGGUGGAUGAGUGGCGAACGGGUGAGUAACACGUGAGUAACCUGCCCCCUUCUUUGGGAUAACGCCCGGAAACGGGUGCUAAUACUGGAUAUUCACUGGUCUUCGCAUGGGGGUUGGUGGAAAGGGUUUUUCUGGUGGGGGAUGGGCUCGCGGCCUAUCAGCUUGUUGGUGGGGUGAUGGCCUACCAAGGCUUUGACGGGUAGCCGGCCUGAGAGGGUGACCGGGAACAUUGGGACGGAGAUACGGCCCAGGCUCCUACGGGGGGCAGCAGUGGGGAAUAUUGCAGAAUGGGCGCAAGCCUGAUGCAGCGACGCCGCGUGAGGGAUGGAGGCCUUCGGGUUGUGAACCUCUUUCGCUCAUGGUCAAGCCGCAACAAUGGUUGUGGUGAGGGUAGUGGGUAAAGAAGCGCCGGCUAACUACGUG
rnacentral:rRNA from 1 species